UACAGAGGUGGCAAGCGUUGUUCGGAAUUACUGGGCGUAAAGGGCUCGUAGGUGGCCCCAUAAGUCAGACGUGAAAUCCCUCGGCUCAACCGAGGAACUGCGUCUGAGACUGUGGGGCUUGAAUCCGGGAGAGGGAUGCGGAAUUCCAGGUGUAGCGGUGAAAUGCGUAGAUAUCUGGAGGAACACCGGUGGCGAAGGCGGCAUCCUGGACCGGUAUUGACACUGAUGAGCGAAAGCCAGGGGAGCAAACGGG
rnacentral:rRNA from 1 species